GAUGAAGAACGUAGCGAAAUGCGAUAAGUAGUGUGAAUUGCAGAAUUCAGUGAAUCAUCGAAUCUUUGAACGCACAUUGCGCCCGCCAGUAUUCUGGCGGGCAUGCCUGUUCGAGCGUCAUUUCAACCAUCAAGCCCCGGGCUUGUGUUGGGGACCUGCGGCUGCCGCAGGCCCUGAAAUGCAGUGGCGGGCUCGCUGUCACUCCGAGCGUAGUAGUUACAUCUCGCUCUGGGCGUGCUGCGGGUUCCGGCCGUUAAAAGCCUUAUUUACCCAAGGUUGACCUCGGAUCAGGUAGGAAGACCCGCUGAACUUAAGCAUAUCAAUAAGCGGAGGA
rnacentral:misc_RNA from 1 species